UUGGAGGGCAAGUCUGGUGCCAGCAGCCGCGGUAAUUCCUGCUCCAAUAGCGUAUAUUAAAGUUGCUGCAGUUAAAAAGCUCGUAGUUGAAUUUCGGGACCAUCAUGUCGGUCGUGCCUCGGUACGUACUGGUAUUGUUGGUUUCUCCCUUCUGACGAACCAUGAUGUCAUUUAUUUGGUGUUGUGGGGAAUCAGGACUGUUACUUUGAAAAAAUUAGAGUGUUUAAAGCAGGCUCACGCUUGAAUACAUUAGCAUGGAAUAAUGAAAUAGGACGUUUGAUUCUAUUUUGUUGGUUUCUAGGAUCGACGUAAUGAUUAAUAGGGAUAGUUGGGGGCAUUAGUAUUCAAUUGUCAGAGGUGAAAUUCUCGGAUUUAUUGAAGACUAACUACUGCGAAAGCAUUUGCCAAGGAUGUUUUCAUUAAUCAAGAACGAAAGUUAGGGGAUCGAAGACGAUCAGAUACCGUCGUAGUCUUAACCAUAAACUAUGCCGACUAGGGAUCGGAUGAUGUUAAUUUUUUAAUGACUCAUUCGGCGCCUUACGGGAAACCAAAGUGUUUGGGUUC
rnacentral:rRNA from 1 species